UUCAGAUUGAAACGCUGGCGGCCAGGCCCUAACCACAUGGCAGGUCGAGCGGAAACGAGGUUAUCUGAACCUUCCGGCAGAACGAUAACGCGUCGAGCGGCCGGACGGGGUGAGUAAUGCCCUAGGAAAUUGCCCUGAUGUGGGGGGAUAACCCAUUGGAACGGAUGGGCUAAUGGCGGCCAUGAAGCUUACGGGUCCCUAAGAGAGGGAGGGACCCUUCGGGACCUCUCGCGUUCGAGGAAUAAUGCCUAGGGUGGGAUUACCUAGUUGGUGAAGGUUAAGAGCCUCAUCAAAGGCGACGAUCCCUAGCUGGUGUGAGGAGGGAUGGAUCCAGCCACCACUUGAAACUGAGACACGGUCCAGACUCCUACCGGGGAGGGCAGCCAGUGGGGGAAUAUUGGCACAAUGGGGCGCCAGCCUGAUGGCAGCCAUGCCGCGUGUGUGAAGAAGGCCUUCGGGUUGUAAAGCACUUUCAGUGGUGAGGAAGGGUAGUGUAGUAAUAGCUGCAUUAUUUGACGUUAGCGACAGAAGAAGCACCGGCUAACUCCGUGCCAGCAGCCGCGGGUAAUACGGAGGGUGCGAGCGUUAAUCGGAAUUACUGGGCGUAAAGCGCAUGCAGGUGGUUUGUUAAGUCAGAUGUGAAAGCCCGGGGCUCAACCUCGGAAUUGCAUUUGAAACUGGCAGACUAGAGUACUGUAGAGGGGGGUAGAAUUUCAGGUGUAGCGGUGAAAUGCGUAGAGAUCUGAAGGAAUACCGGUGGCGAAGGCGCCCCCCUGGACAGAUACUGACACUCAGAUGCGAAAGCGUGGGGAGCAAACAGGAUUAAAUACCCUGGUAGUCCACGCCGUAAACGAUGUCUACUUGGAGGUUGUGGCCUUGAGCCGUGGCUUUCGGAGCUAACGCGUUAAGUAGACCGCCUGGGGAGUACGGUCGCAAGAUUAAAACUCAAAUGAAUUGACGGGGGCCCGCACAAGCGGUGGAGCAUGUGGUUUAAUUCGAUGCAACGCCCACACCCUUACCUACUCUUGACAUCCAGAGAACUUUCCAGAGAUGGAUUGGUGCGCUCGGGAACUCUGAGACAGGUGCUGCAUGGCUGUCGUCCGCUCGUGUUGUGAAAUGUUGGGUUAAGUCCCGCAACGAGCGCCACCCUUAUCCUUGUUUGCCAGCGAGUAAUGUCGGGAACCCCAGGGAGACUGCCGGUGAUAAACCGGAGGAAGGUGGGGACGACGUCCAGUCAUCAUGGCCCUUACGAGUAGGGCUACACACGUGCUACAAUGGCGCAUACAGAGGGCAGCCAACUUGCGAAAGUGAGCGAAUCCCAAAAAGUGCGUCGUAGUCCGGAUUGGAGUCUGCAACUCGACUCCAUGAAGUCGGAAUCGCUAGUAAUCGUGGAUCAGAAUGCCACGGUGAAUACGUUUCCCGGGCCUGUACACAGCCGCCCGUCACACAUGGGAGUGGGCUGCAAAAAGAGUAGGUAGUUUAACGGCUUCGGGGGGGAGCGCUACCACUUUGUGGUUCAUGACUGGGGGUGAAGUCGUAAGAAGGGUAACUGA
rnacentral:rRNA from 1 species